rnacentral:rRNA from 1 species
UUACACAUGCAAGUCGAGGGGUAUCCUAGCAAUAGGAGAGACCGGCGCACGGGUGCGUAUCGCGUAUGCAAUCUACCUUUCACAAAGGGAUAGCCCAGAGAAAUUUAGAUUAAUACCUUAUAGUAUAGCGAGUUCGCAUGGAUUUGCUAUUAAAGAUUUAUCGGUGAAAGAUGAGCAUGCGUCCCAUUAGCUAGUUGGUAAGGUAACGGCUUACCAAGGCUACGAUGGGUAGGGGUCCUGAGAGGGAGAUCCCCCACACUGGUACUGAGACACGGACCAGACUCCUACGGGAGGCAGCAGUGAGGAAUAUUGGUCAAUGGGCGCAAGCCUGAACCAGCCAUGCCGCGUGCAGGAUGACGGUCCUAUGGAUUGUAAACUGCUUUUGUACAGGAAGAAACACUCGGACGUGUCCGAGCUUGACGGUACUGUAAGAAUAAGGAUCGGCUAACUCCGUGCCAGCAGCCGCGGUAAUACGGAGGAUCCAAGCGUUAUCCGGAAUCAUUGGGUUUAAAGGGUCCGUAGGCGGCUUAAUAAGUCAGUGGUGAAAUCCCUACGCUUAACGUAGGAACGGCCAUUGAUACUGUUAGGCUUGAAUUAUUAGGAAGUAACUAGAAUAUGUAGUGUAGCGGUGAAAUGCUUAGAGAUUACAUGGAAUACCAAUUGCGAAGGCAGGUUACUACUAAUUGAUUGACGCUGAUGGACGAAAGCGUGGGUAGCGAACAGGAUUAGAUACCCUGGUAGUCCACGCCGUAAACGAUGGAUACUAGCUGUUGGGAGCAAUCUCAGUGGCUAAGCGAAAGUGAUAAGUAUCCCACCUGGGGAGUACGUUCGCAAGAAUGAAACUCAAAGGGAUUGACGGGGGCUUGCACAAGCGGUGGAGCAUGUGGUUUAAUUCGAUGAUACGCGAGGAACCUU